rnacentral:rRNA from 1 species
AGUCGAGCGGUAGCACAAGGGAGCUUGCUCUCUGGAUGACGAGCGGCGGACGGGUGAGUAAUGUCUGGGAAACUGCCUGAUGGAGGGGGAUAACUACUGGAAACGGUAGCUAAUACCGCAUAACGUCGCAAGACCAAAGAGGGGGACCUUCGGGCCUCUUGCCAUCAGAUGUGCCCAGAUGGGAUUAGCUAGUAGGUGGGGUAAUGGCUCACCUAGGCGACGAUCCCUAGCUGGUCUGAGAGGAUGACCAGCCACACUGGAACUGAGACACGGUCCAGACUCCUACGUGAGGCAGCAGUGGGGAAUAUUGCACAAUGGGCGCAAGCCUGAUGCAGCCAUGCCGCGUGUGUGAAGAAGGCCUUCGGGUUGUAAAGCACUUUCAGCGAGGAGGAAGGUGGUGAACUUAAUACGUUCAUCAAUUGACGUUACUCGCAGAAGAAGCACCGGCUAACUCCGUGCCAGCAGCCGCGGUAAUACGGAGGGUGCAAGCGUUAAUCGGAAUUACUGGGCGUAAAGCGCACGCAGGCGGUUUGUUAAGUCAGAUGUGAAAUCCCCGGGCUCAACCUGGGAACUGCAUUUGAAACUGGCAAGCUAGAGUCUCGUAGAGGGGGGUAGAAUUCCAGGUGUAGCGGUGAAAUGCGUAGAGAUCUGGAGGAAUACCGGUGGCGAAAGCGGCCCCCUGGACGAAGACUGACGCUCAGUGCGAAAGCGUGGGGAGCAAACAGGAUUA